rnacentral:rRNA from 1 species
UACAUGGGGUGCAAACGUUGCUCGGAAUCAUUGGGCGUAAAGCGCGCGUAGGCGGUUACACAAGUUGGAUGUGAAAGCCCUCGGCUUAACUGAGGAAGUGCAUCCAAAACUGUGCAGCUAGAGUACUAAAGAGGGUCGCGGAAUUCCCGGUGUAGAGGUGAAAUUCGUAGAUAUCGGGAGGAACACCGGUGGCGAAGGCGGCGACCUGGGUAGAUACUGACGCUGAGGCGCGAAAGCGUGGGGAGCAACAGG